CUCAGAAAGUCAUGACAAAUCCAUCCAUGAGCAAUCGACCACGAGGGACGUCAUUUGUGUUGGUGCGUAAGUAAGGAUAGCGUCCGUAGAACUCAAUGUAUUUCGGUACAACCAACAUGGCUGCCACAUACGUGCUAAGAAAAUCGUCGUCGUUCAGUUGCAGCUAGUUAUGCCUGAUUAUCCUGUAAAGAGGAAGUCAUUCUAGGACCUGCUGUAAACACGUCUAGGUUACAGUUUUUAUUCAAUGGCAUCUUCCAUGAAUUCUCUGGAAGCGAUUCAGAAAAAAAUAGAUGCUGUUAAACUCUUCCUCUCUGUUUCACUGAGCAUCGCCAAUGCCCACACUGUGGAUUUCUACACUUGCGAUGUAUGGGACCAGUUCAUGGCUGUGCCACCCGUGGAGGUCUUGACAGAGAUCACUUUGAAUGGUGACCACAAGAGGGCGCCAGAACAUUACUUAAAUCAUGGCAAUGCCAAGAAGAUCACCUUUGGUUUCUGUGAUGAUAGUAAGCGCCUGGUGGAUGUGGCUGAGCUCUUGGAGGCUGCCUAUGCCCACUCCCUGCCUGGCCUCGGGGUCUGUGUGGGCCGCACAGAGCUACUGCAAUCCCUCAGACACACUGACAACGCUCAACCCCUGGAGGAAGUUCCAGCUGCUGUGGUGGAGAGUGAUGAGUUUAUGAACUCCAAGAAGUCCCACGAGGUGCAGGCCAUGUCAGAGGUGGUGGCCAGCCUAGCCCAGCGCUGCCGGGUCAAACAGGUGAUUGACGUGGGCUCGGGGAAAGGUUACCUGUGCUCCUUCCUGUCGCUGCGGUACGGCCUCCAGGUGUACGGCAUUGACUCGUCCAGCAGCAACACGCACGGCGCCCAGGAGAGGAACAGGAAGCUCAAGAAGUACUCCCGGGCCUACCAGAGGCACAGCAAAGCCAAUAGAACUCUGACAGUGAUGCCCCCUUCAGGCCAGGAGGACUUGGAGGAUAUUGCACCGGGUGAGAGAGAGAGAGAGGAUAUGGUUAAGAUGAGUGGGGAUGCAGAGAAGGAGGAGGGGAGGAGAGACGGGGAGGCACAGACCAACACAACAGGGUUAACAGAUCGGAAUGAGGAAGAUGCAAUGACAUCACUUACCUCCGCCAUUUUGUUAGAGGACAAUUCCCUUCCAGAGUUGGACCAAAGUGACCCAGCCUCAGCUCCAGAGGAUCCUUUUCUCAGUGCCCUGUGUGUGGGCAUGGUGGAGCCCACCUCCCCCCGGGGUCCCCCCAGUGAGUUGAGCCUGGAGGAGAGGGAGAGGAGGAAGAGGGAGAACCUGGAGAGGAAGGCUAGGAGCUGGGUUAACAGUGGUGGCAUGGGCAGCGGCAUGCUGUACUCACCUCUGACCUCCUACGUUACCGCGGAGACGGAGCUCAAAGAGAUUAUUGGGGAGUUAGAGGAUGCGGUCAUGGUUGGUCUGCACACGUGUGGAGACCUGGCGCCCAGCACCCUGCGCAUGUUUGUGGCCAAACGGGAGCUCCUCUCUGUCUGCAGCGUUGGCUGCUGCUACCACCUUCUCUCUGAGGAGUUUGAUCCCACCAGACAAGAGUGUCCAAGCAGCAGCGUGUGUGGUUUCCCCCUGAGUGGCUACGUGAGGGAGCAGUCCUGGUUCUGUGGCAGAAAUGCCAGGAUGUCGGCGUGUCUGGCUUUGGAGAGAGUUGCCAAGGGCCAAGGGAUUCAGAUGGAGUCACUCUUCUAUAGGGCCGUCCUCCAUGUGAUUCUAAAGGAUCACUACAGCUCCUUUAAAAGGUAGGUUUGGUCUCCCUAAUCCAUGUGAUUCUAAAGGAUCACUACAGCUCCUUUAAAAGGUAGGUUUAGUCUCCCUAAUCCAUGUGAUUCUAAAGGAUCACUACAGCUCCUUUAAAAGGUAGGUUUGGUCUCCCUAAUCCAUGUGAUUCUAAAGGAUCACUACAGCUCCUUUAAAAGGUAGGUUUAGUCUCCCUAAUCCAUGUUAUUCUAAAGGAUCACUACAGCUCCUUUAAAAGGUAGGUUUGGUCUCCCUAAUCCAUGUGAUUCUAAAGGAUCACUACAGCUCCUUUAAAAGGUAGGUUUGGUCUCCCUAAUCCAUGUGAUUCUAAAGGAUCACUACAGCUCCUUUAAAAGGUAGGUUUAGUCUCCCUAAUCCAUGUGAUUCUAAAGGAUCACUACAGCUCCUUUAAAAGGUAGGUUUGGUCUCCCUAAUCCAUGUGAUUCUAAAGGAUCACUACAGCUCCUUUAAAAGGUAGGUUUGGUCUCCCUAAUCCAUGUGAUUCUAAAGGAUCACUACAGCUCCUUUAAAAGGUAGGUUUGGUCUCCCUAAUCCAUGUGAUUCUAAAGGAUCACUACAGCUCCUUUAAAAGGUAGGUUUGGUCUCCCUAAUCCAUGUGAUUCUAAAGGAUCACUACAGCUCCUUUAAAAGGUAGGUUUGGUCUCCCUAAUCCAUGUGAUUCUAAAGGAUCACUACAGCUCCUUUAAAAGGUAGGUUUGGUCUCCCUAAUCCAUGUGAUUCUAAAGGAUCACUACAGCUCCUUUAAAAGGUAGGUUUAGUCUCCCUAAUCCAUGUGAUUCUAAAGGAUCACUACAGCUCCUUUAAAAGGUAGGUUUGGUCUCCCUAAUCCAUGUGAUUCUAAAGGAUCACUACAGCUCCUUUAAAAGGUAGGUUUGGUCUCCCUAAUCCAUGUGAUUCUAAAGGAUCACUACAGCUCCUUUAAAAGGUAGGUUUGGUCUCCCUAAUCCAUGUGAUUCUAAAGGAUCACUACAGCUCCUUUAAAAGGUAGGUUUGGUCUCCCUAAUCCAUGUGAUUCUAAAGGAUCACUACAGCUCCUUUAAAAGGUAGGUUUGGUCUCCCUAAUCCAUGUGAUUCUAAAGGAUCACUACAGCUCCUUUAAAAGGUAGGUUUAGUCUCCCUAAUCCAUGUGAUUCUAAAGGAUCACUACAGCUCCUUUAAAAGGUAGGUUUGGUCUCCCUAAUCCAUGUGAUUCUAAAGGAUCACUACAGCUCCUUUAAAAGGUAGGUUUGGUCUCCCUAAUCCAUGUGAUUCUAAAGGAUCACUACAGCUCCUUUAAAAGGUAGGUUUGGUCUCCCUAAUCCAUGUGAUUCUAAAGGAUCACUACAGCUCCUUUAAAAGGUAGGUUUGGUCUCCCUAAUCCAUGUGAUUCUAAAGGAUCACUACAGCUCCUUUAAAAGGUAGGUUUGGUCUCCCUAAUCCAUGUGAUUCUAAAGGAUCACUACAGCUCCUUUAAAAGGUAGGUUUGGUCUCCCUAAUCCAUGUGAUUCUAAAGGAUCACUACAGCUCCUUUAAAAGGUAGGUUUGGUCUCCCUAAUCCAUGUGAUUCUAAAGGAUCACUACAGCUCCUUUAAAAGGUAGGUUUGGUCUCCCUAAUCCAUGUGAUUCUAAAGGAUCACUACAGCUCCUUUAAAAGGUAGGUUUAGUCUCCCUAAUCCAUGUGAUUCUAAAGGAUCACUACAGCUCCUUUAAAAGCGAGAAGCGUGUGGGGAACGUCUACUCCAAGGCCACCUCAUUCGUGGACUACGUCUGGAGAGCCCUCCGGAGGCUGGAGCUGGACGAGUCAAAGCUGUCUGACGGUGUCAUACAGGGUUACCACGACACAUACCGACCCAGGAUGGUUGAGAUGGAGGCCUUUAACAUGCUGAAGGUGACUUUGGCUCCCUGCAUCGAGGGUCUGAUUCUCCUGGACCGCCUCUGCUUCCUGAAAGAACAG